GACGAACGCUGGCGGCGUGCCUAACACAUGCAAGUCGAGCGAUGAAACCUUUCGGGGUGGAUUAGCGGCGGACGGGUGAGUAACACGUGGGUAACCUGCCUCAAAGAGGGGAAUAGCCUCCCGAAAGGGAGAUUAAUACCGCAUAAUAUGUUUUGGUCGCAUGACCUUAAUAUUAAAGGAUACUUCUUCGGAAGUUUCCGCUUUUGAGAUGGACCCGCGGCGCAUUAGCUAGUUGGUGAGGUAACGGCUCACCAAGGCGACGAUGCGUAGCCGACCUGAGAGGGUGAUCGGCCACAUUGGAACUGAGACACGGUCCAGACUCCUACGGGUGGCAG
rnacentral:rRNA from 1 species